GGGCGUAAAGCGUGCGCAGGCGGUUUUGUAAGUCUGUCGUGAAAUCCCCGGGCUCAACCUGGGAAUUGCGAUGGAGACUGCAAGGCUAGAAUCUGGCAGAGGGGGGUAGAAUUCCACGUGUAGCAGUGAAAUGCGUAGAGAUGUGGAGGAACACCGAUGGCGAAGGCAGCCCCCUGGGUCAAGAUUGACGCUCAUGCACGAAAGCGUGGGGAGCAAACAGGAUUAGAUACCCUGGUAGUCCACGCCCUAAACGAUGUCUACUAGUUGUCGGGUUUUAAUUAACUUGGUAACGCAGCUAACGCGUGAAGUAGACCGCCUGGGGAGUACGGUCGCAAGAUUAAAACUCAAAGGAAUUGACGGGGACCCGCACAAGCGGUGGAUGAUGUGGAUUAAUUCGAAGCCACGCGAAAAACCUUACCUACCCUUGAACAAGUACGGAAGCCACGAGAGAUCGAGGGUGUGCUCGAAAGAGAGCCGUAACACAGGUGCUGCAUGGCUGUCGUCAGCUCGUGUCGUGAGACGUUGGGUUAAGUCCCGCAACGAGCGCAACCCUUGUCAUUAGUUGCUACGAAAGAGCACUCUAAUGAGACUGCCGGUGACAAACCGGAGGAAGGUGGGGAUGACGUCAAGUCCUCAUGGCCCUUAUGGGUAGGGCUUCACACGUCAUACAAUGGUACAUACAGAGGGCCGCCAACCCGCGAGGGGGAGCUAAUCCCAGAAAGUGUAUCGUAGUCCGGAUUGUAGUCUGCAACUCGACUACAUGAAGUUGGAAUCGCUAGUAAUCGCG
rnacentral:rRNA from 1 species